rnacentral:rRNA from 1 species
GAUGAACGCUAGCGGCAGGCCUAACACAUGCAAGUCGAGGGAGGAGCUUUCGGGCUUCGACCGGCGUACGGGUGCGUAACGCGUAUACAAUCUGCCUUUCACAUAGGGAUAGCCCGAAGAAAUUUGGAUUAAUACCUAAUGGUAUAUAGAGGUGGCAUCACCUUUAUAUUAAAGCUGAGGCGGUGAAAGAUGAGUAUGCGUUCUAUUAGCUAGUUGGAGAGGUAACGGCUCCCCAAGGCGACGAUAGAUAGGGGUUCUGAGAGGGAUAUCCCCCACACUGGUACUGAGAUACGGACCAGACUCCUACGGGAGGCAGCAGUGAGGAAUAUUGGACAAUGGUCGGAAGACUGAUCCAGCCAUGCCGCGUGCAGGAAGACGGCCUUAUGGGUGGUAAACUGCUUUUGCAGGGGAAGAAUAAGGACUACGCGUAGUUUGAUGACGGUACUCUGCGAAUAAGCAGCGGCUAACUCCGUG